GUGCUUACUUCAGCAGCACACAUACUAAAAUUGGAAUGAUUACGGAGAAGAUUAAUAUGGCCCCUGUGCAAGUAUGACACACAAAUUUGUGAGGCAUUCUGUAUUUCU
rnacentral:snRNA from 1 species